rfam:Vibrio sp. CECT 9027 strain CECT 9027T genome assembly, contig: 0001
GCGGAAGUGGCGAAAUUGGUAGACGCACCAGAUUUAGGUUCUGGCGCCGCAAGGUGUGGGAGUUCAAGUCUCCCCUUCCGCA